GAUGAACGCUAGCGGCAGGCCUAAUACAUGCAAGUCGAACGGGAUCUGAGGGUAGCUUGCUACCCGAUUUGAGAGUGGCGCACGGGUGCGUAACGCGUGAGCAACCUACCCAUAUCAGGGGGAUAGCCCGAAGAAAUUCGGAUUAACACCGCAUAAUAAUACGAUAACACAUGUUAAUGUAUUUAAAUAUUUAUAGGAUAUGGAUGGGCUCGCGUGACAUUAGCUAGUUGGUAAGGUAACGGCUUACCAAGGCGACGAUGUCUAGGGGCGCUGAGAGGAGAAUCCCCCACACUGGUACAGAGACACGGACCAGACUCCUACGGGAGGCAGCAGUAAGGAAUAUUGGUCAAUGGGCGCAAGCCUGAACCAGCCAUGCCGCGUGCAGGAUGACUGCCCUAUGGGUUGUAAACUGCUUUUGUUAGGGAAUAAACCUACUUAUGUAUAAGUAGCUGAAUGUACCUAAAGAAUAAGGAUCGGCUAACUCCGUGCCAGCCGCCGCCGUAA
rnacentral:rRNA from 1 species